rnacentral:ncRNA from 1 species
AACAGGGGUGCCUCCGGGCUGAGAUGCUUCGUUCGAAAGGACGCGGCAAACCCUCGAACCUGAUAUGGAUCAUACCAGCGUAGGGAGUUUUU